GCCAUAGCUCAGUGGCAGAUCAUCUGCUUUACACGCAGAAUGUCCCCGGUUCAAGCCCUAGUAGCUCCA